GGAGAAGUUCCCGAGUGGCCAAAGGGGGCAGACUGUAAAUCUGUUACUUCGGUUUCGAUGGUUCGAAUCCAUCCUUCUCCA
rnacentral:tRNA from 1 species